rnacentral:rRNA from 1 species
AGCAGCCGCGGUAAUUCCAGCUCCAAUAGCGUAUAUUAAAGUUGUUGCAGUUAAAAAGCUCGUAGUUGAAUUUCGGGAUCAAUAUAUCGGUCGUGCCUUGGUACGUACUGGUAUCAUUGGUUUCUCCUUUCUGACGAACCAUGAUGUCAUUAAUUUGGUGUUAUGGGAAGUUAGGACUGUUACUUUGAAAAAAUUAGAGUGUUUAAAGCAGGCUUUAGCUUGAAUACAUUAGCAUGGAAUAAUGAAAUAGGACGUUCGAACCUAUUUUGUUGGUUUCUAGGAUCAACGUAAUGAUUAAUAGGGAUAGUUGGGGGCAUUAGUAUUCAAUUGUCAGAGGUGAAAUUCUUGGAUUUAUUGAAGACUAACUACUGCGAAAGCAUUUGCCAAGGAUGUUUUCAUUAAUCAAGAACGAAAGUUAGGGGAUCGAAGACGAUCAGAUACCGUCGUAGUCUUAACCAUAAACUAUGCCGACUAGGGAUCGGAUGAUGU